rnacentral:lncRNA from 1 species
GCAGCCUGUGUUUCUCCUGAGGUUACCUGUGGGAUUUUCUUUGUGUCCCCAACAAUUCUUCUGGCAGUUUUGGUUGAAAUCUUUCUUGGUCUAUCUGACCUUGGCUUGGUAUCAAGCUUGGUAUCUAAUUGCAAUUUAAAAAGCCACAGCCACAGGAAAUUCACCUAUAAUUGUCAUUUUAACCUGUGUGUUUCACCUUGUGUGUCUGUAACAAUGUAACAAUAAACUUUUGAUCAGGGCCAUUUGGGUGAUUUCUCUUGUCAUUAUGAUUUCAAAAGGAGCCAAACAACUAUGUGGUAAUAAAUGGCUUCAUAUGGUCACUAUCCUAAAAAAAAAAAGAAAAGAAAAUGAAACGCAAUCGUCAUAUUUAUGCAAACUUAUAAACAACUGUAUAAAUAAAACUGGAAAAAUCUAAUCUGGUUUAUCAGUUGUGUCCGUGAAAACAUAAUUAACUGUUGUUGGUUGUGGGCUUGUGUCGACUUUACACGCAGCUUUCCACGAAUCCUCCUCCACACAUCUGCCUGUGGGCUGACAUCUCCGUUGUUCGUCGUUCCUCGAUGGGAAAGGAAACACCCCCCAACGGGACAGAGAUGGAAUUACGUAUCCAGUGGCCGGCACAAAACAACGCUCCCGUUACACAGAGGCUCAGACACGGUCAGACGGAGUGGUCAGAUUCUGGUCCCACUCGGACACAAAAACGUGAGAACAGUUGUUCUUAAUAGCAUGUUUGUCCACUGGAGUGAAACUGUUUUUGGCAGUAGCACUGGUCAUUCAAUAUAUUAACAUCGAUGGAUUAUUCAAUAGAUCUAUAUAGUGGUGGGCAGCUUGCUUAUCCCAACAAAUAUAUAUGACAUGUAUGAAU